AUACGGAGGAUCCGAGCGUUAUCCGGAUUUAUUGGGUUUAAAGGGUGCGCAGGCGGGAGAUUAAGUCGGCGGUGAAAUUUUGCAGCUCAACUGUAAAAGUGCCUUCGAUACUGGUUUCCUUGAGUGUGGAUGAAGUAGGCGGGAUUUGUGGUGUAGCGGUGAAAUGCUUAGAUAUCACGAGGAACUCCGAUUGCGCAGGCAGCUUACUAAACCACUACUGACGCUCAGGCACGAAGGCGUGGGGAUCAAACAGGAUUAGAUACCCUGGUAGUCCACGCAGUAAACGAUGAUUACUGGCUGUUUGCGAUACAAUGUAAGCGGCUGAGCGAAAGCGUUAAGUAAUCCACCUGGGGAGUACGUUCGCAAGAAUGAAACUCAAAGGAAUUGACGGGG
rnacentral:rRNA from 1 species